rnacentral:misc_RNA from 1 species
AAAAUAUAUAAAACUAAAUGAGUUAAAAAAAUUUUUUUAGUAAUAAUCGAGUUUGAGAUAGUUUUAGAUAAUUGAUAAUAAAUUUUAAUCGAAUUUGGGAUGGGUUCAAAUAUUGAAAAUACUAAUCGAGUUCGAAUUCAGAUAAAGUGAUUUUUAUAACUACCCUACUUGUUACCAUUUCUUCAUUUCUAAUCUGUAAAAUAUCGUAUUUAAAUUUCAGUCAUAAUUACUUAUUAAAAAAAAUUAAAUUCAAUUUAAAUGGGAAGACCAUAUAGUAACAUAAAUAAACUUUAAAACCUAAAUUAUUACAUUUUCAAAUAACAAGGAUGAACCUAUAAUUUACCCUAUAUUAUAUUUACUUGAAUCAAAAUAUUUAAUUGAAUAAGCUGUUUGCCUUUGUGAUGAUAUAGUGGGUAAGCUUCCAAAGAAUCAAGUGAGUCCUGCCCAGGUGGAGACUUACAUGGCCCAAGAAAGUGGCAAGAGAAGAGAACUCCUUCAAAAGUUCAUCCAUAUGUGUGCUUCAUCUAAG